AGGGUGACAGCCCCGUACACAAAAGCGCAUGUGCUGUGAGCUCGAUGAGUAGGGCGGGACACGUGGUAUCCUGUCUGAAUAUGGGGGGACCAUCCUCCAAGGCUAAAUACUCCUGACUGACCGAUAGUGAACCAGUACCGUGAGGGAAAGGCGAAAAGAACCCCGGCGAGGGGAGUGAAAAAGAACCUGAAACCGUGUACGUACAAGCAGUGGGAGCACAGGUUUACCUGUGUGACUGCGUACCUUUUGUAUAAUGGGUCAGCGACUUAUAUUCUGUAGCAAGGUUAACCGUAUAGGGGAGCCGGAGGGAAACCGAGUCUUAAUUGGGCGUUAAGUUGCAGGGUAUAGACCCGAAACCCGGUGAUCUAGCCAUGGGCAGGUUGAAGGUUGGGUAACACUAACUGGAGGACCGAACCGACUAAUGUUGAAAAAUUAGCGGAUGACCUGUGGCUGGGGGUGAAAGGCCAAUCAAACCGGGAGAUAGCUGGUUCUCCCCGAAAGCUAUUUAGGUAGCGCCUCGUGAAUUCAUCUCCGGGGGUAGAGCACUGUUUCGGCUAGGGGGCCAUCCCGGCUUACCAACCCGAUGCAAACUGCGAAUACCGGAGAAUGUUAUCACGGGAGACACACGGCGGGUGCUAACGUCCGUCGUGAAGAGGGAAACAACCCAGACCGCCAGCUAAGGUCCCAAAGUCAUGGUUAAGUGGGAAACGAUGUGGGAAGGCCCAGACAGCCAGGAUGUUGGCUUAGAAGCAGCCAUCAUUUAAAGAAAGCGUAAUAGCUCACUGGUCGAGUCGGCCUGCGCGGAAGAUGUAACGGGGCUAAACCAUGCACCGAAGCUGCGGCAGCGAACGUAUCACCCAAGACAACUUUACGGAGUUGACGAUUGACGGAGCGAAGCGACGUCAAAGCGUUCAUUAAAGUCGAGUUGGCUUAGGGAUACGUUCGUUGGGUAGGGGAGCGUUCUGUAAGCCUGUGAAGGUGUGUCGUGAGGCAUGCUGGAGGUAUCAGAAGUGCGAAUGCUGACAUAAGUAACGAUAAAGCGGGUGAAAAGCCCGCUCGCCGGAAGACCAAGGGUUCCUGUCCAACGUUAAUCGGGGCAGGGUGAGUCGACCCCUAAGGCGAGGCCGAAAGGCGUAGUCGAUGGGAAACGGGUUAAUAUUCCCGUACUUGGUGUUACUGCGAAGGGGGGACGGAGAAGGCUAUGUUGGCCGGGCGACGGUUGUCCCGGUUUAAGCGUGUAGGUGUGUGUUCCAGGUAAAUCCGGUUCACUUUAACACUGAGGCGUGACGACGAGGCACUACGGUGCUGAAGCAACAAAUGCCCUGCUUCCAGGAAAA
rnacentral:rRNA from 1 species